rnacentral:rRNA from 1 species
GAUGAACGCUGGCGGCGUGCUUAACACAUGCAAGUCGAACGAAGCACUUAAGAUUGAUUCUUCGUAUGACGUCUUUUUUGACUUAGUGGCGGACGGGUGAGUAACGCUUGUGUAACCUGCCUCACACAGGGGGAUAACAGUUAGAAAUGACUGCUACUACCGCAUAAUCCGAUAGGAUCACAUUAUCCCGACGGGAAAGAUUUAUCGCUGUGAUAUGGAUCCGCGUUUGAUUAGCUAGUUGGUGAGGUAACGGCCCACCAAGGCGACGACCAGUAGCCGGGAAGAGAGGGUGAACGGACACAGUGGGAGUGAGAAACAGCCGAAAAUACUACGGGAGGCAGGAGAGGGGAAUAUUGCAAAAUCGGGGAGACCAAGAAGGAGCGAGGCCGGGUGAGUGAAGAAGUAGUUAGGUAAGUAAAGCACGAUAAGCAGGGAAGAAAAUGACGGUACCUGAAUAAGAAGCCCCGGCUAACUACGUG